CUACUGGAAACGGUGGCUAAUACCGCAUAACGUCGCAAGACCAAAGAGGGGGACCUUCGGGCCUCUUGCCAUCAGAUGUGCCCAGAUGGGAUUAGCUUGUUGGUGAGGUAACGGCUCACCAAGGCGACGAUCCCUAGCUGGUCUGAGAGGAUGACCAGCCACACUGGAACUGAGACACGGUCCAGACUCCUACGGGAGGCAGCAGUGGGGAAUAUUGCACAAUGGGCGCAAGCCUGAUGCAGCCAUGCCGCGUGUAUGAAGAAGGCCUUCGGGUUGUAAAGUACUUUCAGCGGGGAGGAAGGUGUUGUGGUUAAUAACCGCAGCAAUUGACGUUACCCGCAGAAGAAGCACCGGCUAACUCCGUGCCAGCAGCCGCGGUAAUACGGAGGGUGCAAGCGUUAAUCGGAAUUACUGGGCGUAAAGCGCACGCAGGCGGUCUGUCAAGUCGGAUGUGAAAUCCCCGGGCUCAACCUGGGAACUGCAUUCGAAACUGGCAGGCUUGAGUCUUGUAGAGGGGGGUAGAAUUCCAGGUGUAGCGGUGAAAUGCGUAGAGAUCUGGAGGAAUACCGGUGGCGAAGGCGGCCCCCUGGACAAAGACUGACGCUCAGGUGCGAAAGCGUGGGGAGCAAACAGGAUUAGAUACCCUGGUAGUCCACGCCGUAAACGAUGUCUACUUGGAGGUUGUGCCCUUGAGGCGUGGCUUCCGGAGCUAACGCGUUAAGUAGACCGCCUGGGGAGUACGGCCGCAAGGUUAAAACUCAAAUGAAUUGACGGGGGCCCGCACAAGCGGUGGAGCAUGUGGUUUAAUUCGAUGCAACGCGAAGAACCUUACCUGGUCUUGACAUCCACAGAACUUUCCAGAGAUGGAUUGGUGCCUUCGGGAACUGUGAGACAGGUGCUGCAUGGCUGUCGUCAGCUCGUGUUGUGAAAUGUUGGGUUAAGUCCCGCAACGAGCGCAACCCUUAUCCUUUGUUGCCAGCGGUCCGGCCGGGAACUCAAAGGAGACUGCCAGUGAUAAACUGGAGGAAGGUGGGGAUGACGUCAAGUCAUCAUGGCCCUUACGACCAGGGCUACACACGUGCUACAAUGGCGCAUACAAAGAGAAGCGACCUCGCGAGAGCAAGCGGACCUCAUAAAGUGCGUCGUAGUCCGGAUUGGAGUCUGCAACUCGACUCCAUGAAGUCGGAAUCGCUAGUAAUCGUGGAUCAGAAUGCCACGGUGAAUACGUUCCCGGGCCUUGUACACACCGCCCGUCACACCAUGGGAGUGGGUUGCAAAAGAAGUAGGUAGCUUAACCUUCGGGAGGGCGCUUACCACUUUGUGAUUCAUGACUGGGGUGAAGUCGUAACAAGGUAACCGUAGGGGAACCUGCGGUUGGA
rnacentral:rRNA from 1 species